UACGUAGGGUGCAAGCGUUAAUCGGAAUUACUGGGCGUAAAGCGUGCGCAGGCGGUUUUGUAAGACAGAUGUGAAAUCCCCGGGCUCAACCUGGGAACUGCAUUUGUGACUGCAAGGCUGGAGUGCGGCAGAGGGGGAUGGAAUUCCGCGUGUAGCAGUGAAAUGCGUAGAUAUGCGGAGGAACACCGAUGGCGAAGGCAAUCCCCUGGGCCUGCACUGACGCUCAUGCACGAAAGCGUGGGGAGCAAACAGG
rnacentral:rRNA from 1 species